AGCCUCAAGGUGUAUCGUAAAGAUUUUCAGAUUAAAUUUCAGAUGAUACAUAUUGGAGAGUAUUAGGAUCACUUUUCAUUUAGUAUUCUUUCUCUCUCCUUUAGUUAUGGAUUUAUGCGAUUAAGUUCCACAUGAUCUUUCCUUCUGAAAUUUUCUUUCUCCCCCUUAAUUGAUCGUUCCUAUUUAAGAGUUUAGAAUUUGAAGAUAAUGUUCAAUAAAAUUGUCAAUCUCGAAAAUAUAUUUUCUAUAAGUUUCAGCAUAUUUUCAUAAGACUCAAGGUUUGAGAUAAGACAACCUUUAUAGAAUUCAACUCAAGGCAAGCAAUGGCAACACAAGGAGGUUUAUCAAAAUCAAUCCAUAAAACAUUCAAGAUAUUCAUCAAAUGGAUGUAACCUUUUGCAUUUAGAUUGAAUAUCUAAAGNUCCCCCUCAAAAGAUGCAUUCUUCUUUAAUCAUUCUUUUCUUUGUUGAAUUUCAGAUUUUGAUGAUAAGCGUGAAUAGAACUGAAAUUCUAUGAUAUCGAGAAUGUAGAGUGAUCUAGAGUUAUUCAAAAUUUGUAGCAAUUACUCUUUCUAAUCUUUCAAGAACAAGUUAUGCUUUCUCUUAAUCUUAGAGAAA
rnacentral:lncRNA from 1 species